UUGUGAAAUUACAGUGCGGUUCUCCUUUGGCAAAAGAGAGACAUUGCAUGCAAAGGUCUUGAAAUAGCUUCUCUUCCGCCAAAGGAGAAUUGCCCUGUAAUUCCCAC
rfam:Eucalyptus grandis cultivar BRASTZ1 unplaced genomic scaffold scaffold_5, whole genome shotgun sequence.